rnacentral:rRNA from 1 species
AGCGAACGCUGGCGGCAGGCUUAACACAUGCAAGUCGAGCGGGCAUCCUUGUGGUGUCUGCGGCAGACGGGUGAGUAACGCGUGGGAACGUGCCCUUCGGUUCGGCCUAACUCUGGGAAAAUUUAGCUAAUACCGGAUACGUUCGAGAGCAGAAAGGUUUAUCUGCCGAAGGACCGGCCCGCGUCUGAUGAGCUUGUUGGUGAGGCUAUGGUUCACCAAGGCGACGAGCAGUAGCUGGUGUGAGAGGAUGCUCAGCCACACUGGGACUGGGACGCGGCCCAGACGCCUAGGAGCGGCAGCAGUGGGGAAUAUGGGACAAGGGGGGCAACCCUGAUACGGCGAGGCCGGGAGAGUGAUGAUGGGGUUAGGGUGGUAAAGCUCUUUUCUUCGGGACGAUAAGGACGGUACCGGAGGAAUAAGCCCCGGCUAACUUCGU